CCCCCCAUCUCUGCAGAUUCCCCCGCCCCCCAUCUCUGCAGAUUCCCCCGCCCCCAUCUCUGCAGAUUCCCCCGCCCCCAUCUCUGCAGAUUCCCCCGCCCCCACCUCUGCAGAUUCCCCCGACCCCCCAUCUCUGCAGAUUCCCCCGCCCCCCAUCUCUGCAGAUUCCCCCGACCCCCCAUCUCUGCAGAUUCCCCCGCCCCCCAUCUCUGCAGAUUCCCCCGCCCCCAUCUCUGCAGAUUCCCCCGCCCCCAUCUCUGCAGAUUCCCCCGCCCCCAACUGCCCGCUACAGCUCUUUCCUUGUGCCUCACAGCAGCCGGUCCCACUUCCUGCAUCGCCACCAAUGUGGCCCAGGCCACCAGCCCCCGUGACACUGCAGCCAUCCCCUUUGCUCCCCGUCGUGGCCUCCCGACCGAGCAGCCAGAGUGACCCCGAAAGCCUAAAUCAGCCUGCGGCGCCCUCACCCGUCCUCCAGCUGCCAUCGCCUCCUGGGUGAAGAGGACGCAGCUGGUGACGCGCACUGACGUCCUGCAAGGCCCGCUCCAGGUGCGCCACCUUUGACUGGCAUGCUGAAAGGACAAAGGGACGGAGGCAUUUUACCGGAGAGGACAUCCAUGGGGCCCAGCAGGUCAAAUUCCUUUCUCUAAGUAUGGGAGACAUUUUUAAAAAUAAUGGAGUCCUCCAGGGCCGGCUGCGUGCUGUGGCCUGUGCUCCUCACUGCUUUGGACCCAGGCUGCGCUGUCUCCACCACGACCAAGGACUCACAGAGCUCGCCUGGGGGACCUGGCCCCACAGUCACCCCGUCCGUCAUCAGCCUCAAAUGCCAUCAGCCCGUGAAUGCUGCUCCAUCGUCUGCAUGGCAGCCAAGGAGGUCUCUGCUCCUAAAGCACCUGGGAGCCCUUGGUGAGGGGGGAGUGGGGCAGGGAAGGAGAUGCUGGGGCCCAGCUCUGCUGCUGUGGAUUGUUACAGUGGCCUGGGCCUCUACUCCCGCCUCUGUCCUACCAGGAUGGUGCCAGGUGAUGUGGCGAUGAGUGGGCAUCGCGUGGGGGCCUUGGACGAGCGUGGACACCCCAAUCCCCAGACUGGCCAUUGCCGUGGAGGCAGCGUGAGUGUGACAUGGAGCUCGGUGUCGUGCUGCAGAGGACGCCUCGCGGCUGUACGCGUCAUGAUAGCCAGGGACCCCUCCACAUGUCACUUAGCCAAAGGAUGCAGCCCAGCCUGGGGCUUUCUACCCCAGGCCCGAGGACCUGCAGGGACAAGGACCCCUCAGCGCAGAUGCAGCUCUCAUGAGGCCUGAAACCAAGCUGGACUUGCAGAACUGCGCACGCUCCCUUUCUGAAAGAAACACCCGUUACCGGGUCCAGACUGAAUGUGGGCGUAAGAAAGCGGGAAGGGUCCCCCACAGCAAGAGAGAGACCCUCCCAGUCACUUGGUCAUCUGAGCCUUGAGUGUGUCCGGCCCCAGCCACCAGCCUGUCCCCACUAUCCCUCUUGUCAGCACGGCUGAAAGGAGCUGCCUGGGCACCUGAGGUGGCUGAGGCUCAUCUUUGAGGAGCAUGGAACUCGAGGGGAGAAGUCGCGCCCCCAGGGAAGCCAGGCCCUCCGACGGUGGCUCCGUGCCCUCAAAAGAAGGAUGAUCCCUUCCUGGUCCCGCCUGACCCGGGGGAGCUCGGCCCCUGCUGUGCUGUCAGCCUCGCCCCGGCCGCCCGCGCUGACCCCCGCCCGGCUCACAGCACCGCUGGCCGCAGCCUCUCACCGAGAGCUCCUGCCCUCAGCCUCCAGCCGGAGAAGGACUCCCCAUCCCAGCAGAGCUCAGCUCAGCGGGCACGCGCACGACGCAGAAAUCCUUGAUUUCUCAGGUUAGGCGACGGCUGAAUUAUAAACACGGGUAAGACCACGCACCUCCACUUCCCAGCGUUCUGUAUUUUACAACCAUUCUGUGUUUAUUUCAUUGAUCUACUUCCCGGAUUCAACGGUAUACUCCAAGAGGGCAGUGACUAGAAGAACUUUAUCUGUCCCGGCUUCGCUACUGUGCUCCCAGCACGUGCACAGCACACAGCAGACAGUUUUAAAAGCCGCGGAGGCCCCGGGUGGGAGGGGAGAGGAG
rnacentral:lncRNA from 1 species